rnacentral:lncRNA from 1 species
GUCAGUCUUGGCUGGCAGACCUGUACUCCGUACUCCGUACUUCGUAGUCGCAGCGGCGCGGUCUUCGGCAGUCUAGUCAUCCACCGCCAUCCUGGGCCCCACGUGUUGCCUGACCAUUCCUGAGCCCAGGUGGGAGCCGUGGCUGAGGUGACGGUCUCAAAGUGGAAGAGCUUACUGUCACAGCAACUCCUUUGCAAGAUGCCCCGGCCAGGAAUAGUUGCUGAACACCCCAGGCCUGCUGAGGUCCCUCCUUGAGUCUCAUGUUCAAGCAGUCUUGUGAGUAAAGCACUGGCUACCCCUUUUCACUUACUAUCUUUUCAAGCAUGUUCUACCACCUUGGAAGGUAAGAGGUUAGUACCUUCUUCCAGAGCAGAGGGCAGGCAUUCUUGCUGUGCGUUGUGAAAGGGUAGAGUCCUGCGCUCCUUUCUUGUAGUAGUCCAAUGGCUCAUGCAGGUGCCUCUGACUCCCCUAUGGGAACUGGGGCUUGGGAGGGUGGUGGAAAAUGCUGAUGCUCUGGCUAUUGCUAUUGUUUUGAAUAAUCAGUGGUCCCUUGUCCCUAAUCGAGGAAUUUUGUAUUUUCUACCAGUGUCCAUGAAACUGGGAGGCGACCGUGUUAGCUGCCAGUUCCUGACAGCCACCUCUCACCAGUGGCUUCACUCUGUGUCCCUGACCCAGCACAUGGCACAAGAGUGCCUGCCAUCCGUCAGUGUUUCUACAGCAGCAAUCCCAAGAUGCUGGAGCUAGAGGGGACCUGACCUGAGAGAAGAUACCUUCAGUGGCUGCCAGGCUGUUCCUUGGAACCUGUGCAGGGGUAAGUGUGCAGGAAGGUCUGACCUGGCAAGUCACUUCACUCCUGUUUUAUUUAGAGUCACCUGGCUAAUGAAAAGUAUUUUGACCUUCCCGUAUGGUAAGUCAGGUGAUUGAAUCCCAGAAAGGUUCAUUGUCUUCAAGCUCACAAUACUAUUUUGGGACAAACAGUUGUCUAGUGUUUGGACUCAUGAACCCUGAUUCUUGAGGG